rnacentral:tRNA from 1 species
CGCGAGGUAGAGCAGUUGGUAGCUCGUCGGGCUCAUAACCCGGAGGUCGGAGGUUCGAGUCCUCCCCUCGCAA